GCCAGUUUGGUCUAGUGGUUAAGUCACCAGGCUAGAAACCAGGAGACUGUGAGUUCUAGUCUAGUCUUUGGCA
rnacentral:tRNA from 1 species